AACGUAGGAGACAAACGUUAUCCGGAGUUGCUGGGCGUAAAGGGCGUGUAGGUGGUUUCGUAAGUCUGGCGUGAAAUUUCCCGGCUUAACCGGGAGUGGUCGUCGGAUACUGCGGGACUAGAGGACGGUAGAGGCGUGUGGAAUUCCGGGUGUAGUGGUGAAAUGCGUAGAGAUCCGGAGGAACACCAGUGGCGAAGGCGACACGCUGGGCCGUACCUGACACUGAUGCGCGACAGCAUGGGGAGCGAACAGG
rnacentral:rRNA from 1 species